GCGGGUACUGGGCUCUCACUGGGACUUUGCUGGGAGCUCUGGAGCUGGUUGCUUUGUUUCUCUGUCCCUUGUUCUCUGAGCUCCCAAGACCUGAGCGAGGGGAGGAGAAUGUUGUAUACUUGGGAUCAAACAUGGGUCCUUGCUGUGCACGGGGAGCCUGGCUCAGGCUCUGCUGCCUCCCACGUCCCAAGGAGUUGUCCCUUCCUGGGGUCCCCUUGAAGACCCCGAUGCUGCCGGGCAGGGACAGGCAGGAGGCUGCUGGGGACUCGCUGGCUGUCCUGCUCCUGACCCGUGGUGGUCAUCCCCUUUCCUAGGAAAAGGGAGCAUCCAGGAAGGAUUCUUAAAUCACAGCAAAACCAUAGCCCUGCCCAGAGCCUCGGGAAGGGCUUGGGGCUGGUGGGAUCAGCAAAGGGCUGGGACAAGGCAGCUCUUGGUGGCCGUGGUUGGGAAGGCGGUGUUGCUCCACCUGGGCAGGACCAGCAGAGCUGGGAUCCAUCACCAGCACCUUCUCCGGCGCUUUGCCGUGGGGGUGUGGACCCGUGUUAUGAUAACCAAAGGCAGGGGUUGGCAGGUUUUCUUUGCCCUCCCUCCACUUGGCAUGGUAAUUAACGCGAGGUACUGGUGUCAACUGGAGGUAAAGCUUUGAUGUGUCUAUGGAAAACCUGGUAACCUCUUCCUCCGUGCUCUGCUUUGCAAAUUUAUUUGAGUGAUCAGUAUCUUCCCCACUUCCUUUGGCAUUUUCCUCCUCCCUGCAGCCGCCGGGACCCCGAGGGAAGGAGCGGUGCCCGGCACCUUUCCCGUGCUCGUAGGAGGGGAGGGAGCCGUGGUUUGGAGCUGGCUGCCCGUGUGCCGCGGGCUCCUCUCGAUGCCUGGUGCCUCCAGCUAAAUUGCAUUUAAAGAAGAUGCUGUGGGCAGAGAGCAUCCUGCCCGCGGGGAGCUCCUGCUUUAGGAAGCUUCAUCCCAGCGCCAGCUGCACCAUGGGGCACCUCCGUGCCAUCACCACGUCCCCAGUGGUGGCCUCGUCGUGCCAGGACAGACUGGUGGCCAUGGGCUCACCUGAAAUGGGUGCAGGAAUGGGGGCAUGGAGGGUGGCUUGCGAGAGCCUGGGGGGUGGCAGGCACUUAGAGGCUGUUGGUGUUUGGGGAGGGUUUUCCAGGCUUGGAAGUGGGAAUGAUGACGUGUCCUUCCUCUCCGCAGGUCCCCGUGUCCGUGGCCAUGAUGUCCCCGCAGAUGAUCACGCCGCAGCAGAUGCAGCAGAUCCUCUCGCCGCCCCAGCUCCAGGCCCUCCUGCAGCAGCAGCAGGCGAUAAUGCUGCAGCAGUUGCAGGAAUACUACAAGAAGCAACAGGAGCAGCUUCACCUGCAGCUAUUGACACAGCAGCAAGCCGGAAAGCAGCAACCCAAAGAGCCGUUAGGGAACAAGCAGCUGGCCUUCCAGCAGCAGCUCCUGCAGAUGCAGCAGCUCCAGCAGCAGCACCUGUUAAACCUGCAGCGCCAGGGGCUGGUCAGCCUCCCCCCGGGACAGGGCACCGUCCCCCUCCAGACCCUGCCCCAAGGUAAGGACCCCUGUCUGGGGUUGGGGGUUGUAUUGGGGAGGGGGGGGAUCCUUCGCAGCUGCAGCAUCUCCCUGCUCUGGGUGAGGGGAGGGGGCUGGGGUGUUGUUUUU
rnacentral:lncRNA from 1 species